AUCCAUCUGACGAGUCCCACAUAGGAUGACGUGGCGCGCGUCCUGGAU
rnacentral:hammerhead_ribozyme from 1 species